rnacentral:rRNA from 1 species
UACGUAGGGGGCUAGCGUUGUCCGGAUUUAUUGGGCGUAAAGAGCGUGUAGGCGGCCAUGUAGGUCCGGUGUGAAAAUUCGAGGCUUAACCUCGAGAUGUCAUCGGAAACCAUUUGGCUAGAGUCCGGAAGAGGAGAGUGGAAUUCCUGGUGUAGCGGUGAAAUGCGCAGAUAUCAGGAAGAACACCAAUGGCGAAAGCAGCUCUCUGGGACGGUACUGACGCUGAGACGCGAAAGCGUGGGGGAGCGAACAGG